UUUGUUUCGGUUUUCAUAACGUCUCUGGGAACGGAUUAACUACGAAAACUGAGGUACCACUGUACAAUUUUUUUUUUAGAAUUGUGUAUGAAUUAAUUGUUUAGAGAAUAAAAAAAAAAAUAAAGUAUAUGGGGGAAAAUAUAGGCUAAGGCUGGUGACAGUAUAUAGGGGAGAAUAUAGGCUGAGGCGGGUGAAAGAAUAUGGGGAGAAUAUAGGCUGAGGCGGGUGAAAGAAUAUGGGGAGAAUAUAGGCUGAGGCUGGUAAAAACUAACCCAAAAUAAAGAUCUGUGCCUGAAGGCACUGUCAGAAUUGUCUGUAAUCUUGCAGGUCCACCUUGUUGGGUCAUGUCACCUGGCAGGACUCCACACCAAUAUAACACAACCUCUCUUUUGAUAUUAAUGCUGCUGUAUCAUACAAUACAUAUAUGAGAGAGAUAAAUGAGGAAAUAUGGAUGUUAAAAGAGAAUAAUUCUCUGAACUUUUUCCUCUAGCAGGGAGACUUCAGACCUGGAAUGAAAUAGAUCUAGUAUUAAGGCUGUUGAAAUAAACAGCUUGAAGAAUUCCUGUGAUAUUAGUAGAUUGGAAGGAAAACCCUUAAUUAGCUUAUUGCAAUCUCCAUAGUCAAAGAUCACCUGCUCAUGGUGACUCCCGGUCACACCCCUGCCCAUGGCAACUCUCAGUCACAUCCUACCCAUGGCAACUUCCAGUCACACCCUGCCCAUGUAUCUCAGGCCUUAUUUGACAUUUUGCCUUCAGUUGUAUCGCAAUUAAACAUUCUGGAUAUUUUUUUUACAUAGAGCGGAUAUUUCACUGUCUGUGUUAUGACCAUGGAGAGCCUGCUGGAUAAGACAAGGUCAGGACUUGCUGACCUAUAUUCCUGAGAAGAAUAUAUUGUCUUGAUGGCCUAAGGUCAGUGUUCAAUGUCUUAAAUUUGUCAUAUUCAUUAAAACAUGUAUAGUUUCACAUGUGUAACUGUGUGAUACAAUAUGGCCCUUAUAUUAGUAUUAAAUUGUAAACAUUUAAUCAACAUAGAAAAUGGUGUGGCACUGUUAACAAUAUUGUCCAUAAAGUCAGAUGUUUUUGCAUGCUAAGAAGUACAGUGCGACACAGUAUGGUGCUACUGUUUAUACUUUGCAUCAAAGUGCAUUAUAACACUUGUGUUAAUAAUGUGCUAUAUGCUUAAUUUAAUUAAAUAUAUAAUAGCAAUAAUAUUGAAUGAUGGUGAAACACAAAAAUAAUUGUAUCAACAGUUACAAGGGUCUGUGGAACUAUAUUUCUUAAUAAAUCUAAUAGAGAUUUUAUGGGGCUUUCAGGAUUGUAACUUCUGAAAAUGUGAAUGUUUGUUGUACAGUAUUUUUAUAUUGAAAAUAUAAUGUAUUGCAAAUGCACUUCAGCUGGAAUAAUGAAAAUAUUUAAUUUAGGGUCUAUUGCCGAUUCAGGCAGAAAUACAUUAUUUGUUAAUCAUUGAGAAAGUCAUUGUCAUUGAAAGCACUUGGUUCCUUACUACAUGUCCUUCACAUCCAGAAUUCAUGACCACAUUUGCAAAGGGGGGAUAUAGACAACACUAAAUCCACACAUUAGAAAUGGUGAUUUUGUUUCAAUCAAAGACAGACCACAGAUUUGACACAUUUUUACAUCUUUGAGUGGGUUUACUGUUAAGUUUCUCCAACCACAGUAUUGUGUGACUUCAGGAAACACAUUACUGUACUAUAAAGUCUUUCCUUGUUUGAUGUCAUAAAUAACACCUGUUGAAUGAUGUUUUCCCAUUCACUACAAUUAUCUUUGAAAAUAUUCUCAUCUAUUCUUCUGAUAAUCUCAAAUGUGGUCUCUCAAGUUGUGGCUUUUUUUAUUGACCUCUGCAGUCUUUAUUACCUGCUGGUAAUUUGGCAGGCAGUAAAACUGACAUAGCAUUAAAUUAAGGCAAAACAUUUGACUAGAAACAACCAAGCGACUUGCACUUGCCUACCAGAAACAAACGAACUUGUUUGUCAGCUUGUUUCUGGUCGGCAAGUGUAAGCUGUCAUUAUCGUGAGUAAUCGUAUGUUGACAUACUCAAUUGUCACUAAUGGUGUAAAUGUGUGUAAAGACAAAAAAUUGUCCUCAGUUCUUCAGGUGUUGAUACAUGAAUACAUGUUAAACGAAAAUUG
rnacentral:lncRNA from 1 species